CCUACGGGAGGCAGCAGUGGGGAAUCUUGCGCAAUGGGCGAAAGCCUGACGGAGCAACGCCGCGUGCACGAAUGAAGGCCUUCGGGUUGUAAAGAUCUGUUGACAGGGACGAAUAAGCAAUGCGAAUAGUUUUGUGUAUGACGGUACCUGUUUAGGAAGCUCCGGCUAACUACGUGCCAGCAGCCGCGGUAAUACGUAGGGAGCAAGCGUUGUCCGGAUUUACUGGGCGUAAAGGGCGCGUAGGUGGGCGCUCAAGUUAGGUGUGAAAAGUCCGGGCUCAACCUGGGGCCUGCACUUGAAACUGGGUGGCGUGAGGGCAGGAGAGGAAGGCGGAAUUCGUAGUGUAGCGGUGAAAUGCGUAGAUAUGAGGAAGAACACCAGUGGCGAAGGCAGCUUGCUGGACUGUACCUGACGCUGAGGCGCGAAAGCGUGGGUAGCGAACGGGAUUAGAUACCCCGGUAGUC
rnacentral:rRNA from 1 species